UUGGUAACUCUGAUUUUUCUGUAGAUUUAAAUGUUGCUGACUUCACCCCUGUACCAGAAUUUAGCUACUUUGAUAAUGUAGGUCAACACAUCCCUUUGAAACUGAAGCAAAAAAUUUGGGAUGGGCAAUUUGUUGAUUUAGGUUUGCUGUUGAAAUCAGCAAAAGAGAUUGACAAUAGUUUGGGGGGGGGGCAAGGUGAAAUUAAAAUCAGGGAUGGAAAACUGCAUUGUCAGGUCUAAUGUGGGUUCAUACCUGACAAUUGAAAGAUGGACUAAUGCCUUCAUGAUUUACAUGAGUGUUAUGUUGGAAAAAUACAGAGCUCGGGCCCAGGAGUUUUUAUACAUGCGAGACAUCAGAUUAGCUGCCACUAGAUCCCAAGCCUGGUACAAAUACGACGAGCAAUACCGUCUCCGCAAAGCUAGCAAUCCUGAAUCCUCCUGGGGCAUUAUCAGUCAGGAAUUUUGGCUACUAUAUUUGACCGGCCAAAGUUCAUUCGAAAGUUAAACUCAUUUCGUAAUACUAAACAAUUUUCAGGUGAGACCAGCACAUCUGCUGUUACCCAAUAUUGCUAAGGCAAGGUUAAUAAGGCUAUUACAAAAUUUGUUACGUCUGAAGUUAAUUACCUUGCAUGGUUCAUGACAAAUAUCAAUGUUCAUCAAACAUCAUGUUUAUUUAGGUAUGAUGUAUCUCAUUGCUGAAAAUGCAAACUAGGCCUACUUAAUUAUAUACAGGGUGGUUUGGAAUUUAUUUUGGGGGGAAAGGGCAAAAUUUUUCCUCCUCAAUAGUUUGCAGGAUCUUGUCAUUUCUGGUCGGUUCCUAUAACCGGUCAUUAAUUUAGUAGAUAGAUAUAAUCUAAGCAAUUUUGGUGGGGAACAUCAUAUCGAUGUUUGUGGCGGGGUCAAGGGAGACAUCAUUCCUGUACAAGCUUAACCUGUUGUCUCUGCCCAUCUGCAUCAAAGCAUGAGGGAUGUCUCAUGGCUGUGUAUAUUAAGUUAUAUGGAAGUUAAAUGCCAUUGAGCAAAUGUUUAGAAUAACUGGAAACUGCUUGGGGUCUGCAGCAUUUCAGUGCUCAGACCCCCUCUACCUCUAUAAAAGGAGGAGAGGCUACAGGCUGGUUGGUGUUAAAGUUCUAAACCAGGUAGCAAGCCAGAGACAGGGUGUAAAAGCUGAGCAGCUUGUGGGCCUAGCCACCAUGCGUGUCAGGCAUGGGGUUCCAUGGCACUCGCAUCUAAGCGAGGCCACUAGUUUGCCCGUUGGUUUAUGGUAUCCUAGUUGUCUCCCUUGACUCCUACUAAAUUUUGCGGCCAGUAUCAUCCAACACUGUGUAUUAUGUUUUUAUGAUGUCAUUGCUUAAUAAAUUAAUGUAAAGUACAAUUGGUGUUUUCAAUUCUCACAAGUGGCUGAAAGAUAAUUCAAUAACAUUGUGAAAAGGCAGACAAAGUAACUAUCAUUGGCUGCAAUCUUCAAUUAAUAGGAUUUGUACAUUUUGUAACCUAAAUGAGUUAGAAGACGAAUUUCAUUUUAUUUUAAAAUGUCCUUUUUACAACGGUUUAAGAAUUAAAUAUAUCAACAACAAAAAAUUAUCACAAGAAACCCAGUGUCUUUAAAUUAGUAAAACUUCUUAGUGUAAAUAAUACAAAAGAACUCAAUAAUUUAGGAGAGAUCCUACAGCAGGCUACAAAGUUUCGAUCUUCAUGAACUUAUAAAUUCUGUACCUGCUUCGACAUAUUAUUCACGUGUAUUGUUAUAUGUAUGUUGAAAUGCAUUGAUUUUAUAUCCCCAAUAUUGUAUCUGUAUGUCUACUCACCCUCUACUAUCUUAUUUGUAGAUAUUUUGUAUUUAUAACCGAUGAGCUGUAUAGCUUAAGGAAAUAAAGAAUCUGAAUGUAAAUUUUUUUUACCGAUUUAAAUAAAACAUUACUGGUUUAAUACGCCACCGCUUCUUACAACGUUGUGGAAAGCGAGGAUGUAUUGAAACAGCUAAUUUUAAUCAGAACAACUAGAACGCAUUCUUGUCAUAAUUCAGUAACAGAGGCAAAAUAAAGAUCCACACAUGUUUUUGUUCAUUUUUGUUUAAUACAAUUAAGCUUAGCAUUAUAGUCUACAGCGAAACAUAGAAAUUAACAUUCAGUUGACUUUACAAUCCAUAUAAAAGUAAUCAUAAAAGUACAUCCUUACAUACAAGUACCGCGCAAUCUAUCGGAACUACAUAAUUCUUUAUAAACAUUUCUACAUUGUGAACUAGUUCCUGAUAAUCUCACAAAUGUACCUUUCACAUGUUAACAUUUCAAACCAUACUAUCUGUAGGUACAUGGAAAUAUCCAAUAUAGUAAGCAUGAAUUUUCUACUUUUCUUGUGAACAAACAACAUGCACACAAAAUGUUUGAAAGCUUACUAAAAGUAAUAACGAAAUGAUUAAACAUAAGACGAGAGAGUUUUCGAAGCUUCAUAAAAUGAAGUAGAAUCGUUUAUUUCAAGUGAACUCAUUUUAACAUCCCCAAGUGAAACCAAGACAAGGAAGUUUGGAAUUAUGUUUUUUGUGUGCAUAUUUGUUUACCCUUGUUUACACUAAUUAAUCUUACAGGAAUGAAAACUUUAACCAAGUCCUUGGUUCCUACAUUUUGUUUUUCAUCCAAACCUGACCAUCUUUGCAGGAGUGGUACUUUGCAUACAAAUCCUAUUCCUAUUUGUUUGAAGGUUUUACGAAUAAGAUAAUUUAAGGACACUGAAUAAGAAAUUUGGAAAAUCUUGGAACGCUGUCUUGCGAGGUGUCAUGUGGACGGAAAUGCCCGAGUUUGAGGAGGCCUUGUCACUUUAAUCUUUAAUAAAGUUGUUGUUUCCAUAAUACAUCAAGUAAUAAACAGUAUUUGAUACAUGUAGAAAUGGUGAAGGUUUCCUAAUAUUUAAAAAAAAUAUAUCUUUGAAAAAUAAAGUCUCUGGAAAAGAACAUGCAUACGAACUCGAUGAUCGUAAUAUUAAACCAUACUUGUGUAAAAUCAGUGCAAUGUAUUACGUAAACUAGUGCACACACACACACACACACACACACAUAUAUAUAUAUAUAAUUACAAUAGCCGUGUUUCGAGUUACUCCGGAACACAGUGUUUAUUCUGUGUUUAGUCACGCCGCGUCAAAAAUGUUCCACAGGGUUACUUCCGGUUUAUCGUUGUUUACCUUUGUUUACCAACAGUCGACACUUCGUGUAUUAGGCCUAGGCUUAAUUUUGUCGAUCAUCAUGAAAUUGAAAUACACAUUUAAUAGUUUGGGGUGUAUGCGGUACAUAUUUGUUUAUGAGCGUUUGAUAAGCUACUAUUGAUCUACGAAAUACAACGAAAGACUUCGUGAAGAACAGAAGACGAUGUCGUGUAACUCACACAAGGCCCGGCCCAGCUGUCUAGUAACCGGAGGGGUAAAGGAAAAGAACGUAUUAGACUCACUGAAACCUGUCAAACUGGUUAAUGGGAACAGGAUAAUUUUCCAUGCCUUUCACUUGAGGUCUUCAGUUUCAUCAUUAAUCAUCUGAAUGUCGGUAUGCCAAACUCUCAUGAUGUCAUGCCAUUACUGGAUAUUCCUUAACACUGGUUUAUUUAAACCACACUACCUAUAACAUUGCCAAAUAUUAGACUGAAAAUUUUCAAAUACACAAGAUUUGAAGCAGCAAAAGAAAAGAAUUACAUAUGUAUAACACACAAAAAAGAAGAAAUUAAUUCUCACCUGGCUGAUAUGAACUUUUUACUCCUUUUUAGCUCCCUUUCACUGCAUACCAGCCAAUAACUAGCAGUCAUUAUAUGCAGAUCAGCCAUUGUUAUCAACCUGUGUAUAUAUAUGUUGAAUAAAAUAUGAAUGAAAA